rnacentral:rRNA from 1 species
CCUACGGGAGGCAGCAGUGAGGAAUAUUGGUCAAUGGGCUUACGCCUGAACCAGCCAAGUCGCGUGAGGGAAGACUGCCCUAUGGGUUGUAAACCUCUUUUGUCAGGGAGCAACGCCGGCCACGUGUAGCCGGACUAAGAGUACCUGAAGAAAAAGCAUCGGCUAACUCCGUGCCAGCAGCCGCGGUAAUACGGAGGAUGCGAGCGUUAUCCGGAUUUAUUGGGUUUAAAGGGUGCGUAGGCGGUGUGCCAAGUCAGCGGGAAAAUCGCGGGGCUCAACCUCGACCCGCCGUUGAAACUGGCGUUCUUGAGUGGGCGAGAAGUAUGCGGAAUGCGUGGUGUAGCGGUGAAAUGCAUAGAUAUCACGCAGAACUCCGAUUGCGAAGGCAGCAUACCGGCGCCCAACUGACGCUGAAGCACGAAAGCGUGGGUAUCGAACAGGAUUAGAUACCCGGGUAGUC